rnacentral:rRNA from 1 species
AUGGCUGAAAUGACAGCUAUACUGACCGAUACGUUGAUGGUGAAGUUCAGCCGUGCCAUAUCUACAGUGCUGAGUCUGAUGAGGUCAUUGGAGGAGCAAGCAGUAGGAGAGCGAGCGCGGCCGGAGGAGUUGUCGCUCAAUAGUUACGUGCUCCUUCAGGCGUACAUUUUGAUGGCGGUGACGGGGUUAGGCUACCUGGCGCUCACAUGGUCGACGGUAGUCCUCCUGGGUGGCUUCGUCACCUCGUUGGGCAACAAGGAUUUUUGGUGUCUCACAUGCAUUAGCAUGGUACAGGCAGCCAGGAUCUUCAACGACUCAGGGGACAACCUAUUCCCUAUAUUUUUGAACCUAAUGGAGAAUCUUUCGAGGAAAGCUUUUACAGGUCCUAGGGAACAUCUUACACUAAGUUGGUAUCUACCGAGACAAGUUAUUCAGUUGGUAGAAGUUAUCAUUAUCCAAAUAUCAUCCUUGCCAGCCCUGGUAGUGGUUCUAAUGGCAGGGAUCCUUUAUAAACUUGGGCCUGUUGCAUGCAUUGUGCUCUCACUGUGGCGCCUAUGGCAGCAUGAUUAUUGCAACACCGCAUGUGACGACAACAAAGCGAACCUGGUGCCAGCACUUUACAUAUUCUACUGUUUGGUUAUUGGCCAAGGUGUGCUCUUCUUCAUAUGGUGGUUGAUGGAUGUGUCAGUGAUGAGGGUUAUGGUUUUGUUCCGGGAAGAAUGCCAGUUACCAGAAAAGUGGGGCAGCAUAACAAUUUCAGGUUACCUAUAUGAUACCAGAGCAAAAUGCUGGCGAGACCCUACAUCCAUAGAUGGUAUGAAUUUGAUCAACUAUGCUGUUGAUUUGGUUGACUCGGAAUCGCAGAAAGACUACCUCUCAGGAGCAAGGAUGCUCGAUAACUUCAUUAAGAUGGAGGCAGAUGUAAGGUCCCUGCUACUCCCCUCCAGACCAAAGAUUCAAAAGCUGAUUGAUACGCUAGGAUGGAGAAGCAGCAACAGAGAGCUCAGGGAGGUCGUCGCCAGGAUCGUCGCAUACCUUGCCGGUGACAUUCAUUUGUCCCAGUUCCCAGGGGCGAUACACUGCAUAUCCUUGCUGCUCGAUACCACCCUGCCGUAUUGGAACAACCAACAAGGACCCAAUCAUGCUACUGUUAGUGAGUCAGAAAAAGAUGCUGACAGUGCUAGGGAAAGGUUUAUUUCUCUCGCCAAAGAAAUAGAGGAAUGUAGAGGAAGAAGAGUUGCUGGUUUCAGUAAGAAAAAAUCAAUUUUUGUUCUCAAACGCACUGAGGACAACAAAGCAAAAAUUGUCAGAAGUCAAGGUGGUGACAUUCGGCAAGAUGGAGUGGAUAGCUCAACCCAUCAUGGCAGCAAAGAAGAUGGUUGGAAUGAGCUGAUUCUACAAGGCCUCACAAUUCUUGAGAGGCUCGUCUUCGAUCAACACAAUUGCAACGACAUAUGCAACACCCCUGGUCUCCUCCCUAAGAUCAUGGCACCACUGUACUCCGAGACACUAAUCCAAGAUAUCAAUGCAAAUCAAUGGGCCGAUGUAGUGAAUGGGUCACUCAAAGUGGUACACAUGCUCAUCCGUGCCCCAGAUUGGAUUGGCAAAAGUGAUCUGGUCCACAAAAUCUGUUCCAACGGCCAUGCACUGAGCAACCUAGAGAGAAUUCUUUAUCAGGGAAAAAAUGAUGGCACAGAACUGCAGAUGCGAGCCAUAGAAAUCCUGACAGAACUGGCCACUGAUUCGUCAGCCAACCUCAGCACCGAAACAAAAGAAAAUCUAAUCAGAAAGCAGUUGCAGAUAUUCCUUACUGAUGAUGAAGGGGACAAAGAUGGUUUGAACAAGAAGAAUGAUGAUAAAGGGGACAAAGGAAAGCUUAGAGUUACAGCUGGGAAAUCACUGGCAUUGCUUUCCAAGAUGGAAACUGUCUCUAAGUUCAUAAAAAACCAACAGAACAGCAUUGCUGAUUGUCCCAAUGAAAUACUUGAUACUAAGAACGACAUCACGUACAGGACAGUAGCAUUGGAGAUCUUGGAGAACUUGUGCACUCACUGUACAUUGGACAAGGACUAUGUGAAGGAAACCUUGCUGCCAAAGGUCCUCACGGAAGUACUAGCCAGUACACGAGACCUCCCUAAAGAACAGAGAGAAGAGAGAAAAAUGUCUGCAAGGGAAAAAAGAUGUGCAAGAAGGGGAAAUGAUGAAGAAAAACAACUGACAAUAGAACGUAGCGGCCAAAUCAAGAAGUCACCUGAUAAGUCAAGUGAGGAGCUAAAAGCUGAAAUAGAAUACCGAGAAGCAUUGUUAUCACUUACUUUUGUGAUGUGUGAGUGUGACAAACUGAUCAGCGUCGAUGACUUCGAUGAUGUGGUUCGAAAGAUUUCUCUAGAGGAAGGUGCAUUUGUGGGAAAGCUCAGGGCUAUAGUAGAAGAGAACUGUGAGGACAGAGCUGAUUGUCUAAGAAUCGUGAAGCUUUGCGGCCAGAUUGCGGUAUUAAUGCUGCAGCCCGGCCAGGACACCGUUCUGCUCAAUGAAUUCCUGAAGUCGUUGGAAAACGCUUCAAAGAUCCUGUCUAACCUUGAAAGCUGCAUGCUCUUUGCAGGGACUGAUUGCGGAGUAAAGAAGACAGCCAGGCCUCUCCUCUCCGAUCUUGUGGAAAAAGUCAGAAAUUUGGUUGGUAACGAGAAUGUAACUGUAAUUGGCUAA